rnacentral:rRNA from 1 species
CCUACGGGGUGCAGCAGUGGGGGAUAUUGCACAAUGGGGGAAACCCUGAUGCAGCGACGCCGCGUGUGGGAAGACGGUCCUCUGGAUUGUAAACCACUGUCCCCAGGGACGAAGAUGACGGUACCUGGGGAGGAAGCUCCGUCUAACGACGUGCCAGCAGCCGCGGUAAUACGUAGGGAGAGAGCGUUGUCCGGAGUUACUGGGUGUAAAGGGAGCGUAGGCGGGACUGAAAGUUGCGUUUCAAAUCUACCGGCUCAAACGGUAGACGCAAUCAAAACUGGAGUUCUUGAGUGCAGUAGAGGCAGGCGGAAUGCCUAGUGUAGCGGUGAAAUGCGUAGAUAUUAGGAGGAACACCAGUGGCGAAGGCGGCCUGCUGGGCUUUUACUGACGCUGAGGCUCGAAAGUGUGGGGAGCAAACAGGAUUAGAUACCCGAGUAGUC